UUUCCGUAGGUGAACCUGCGGAAGGAUCAUUCAUAAUAAGUGUUUUAUGGCACUUUUUUAAAUCCAUAUCCACCUUGUGUGCAAUGUCAGGGUUGAUUUUUCUCUCGAGAGGAUCAACUCCAAACAUCAACUAUAUCUCAACUCUUUGUCUGAAAAAUAUUAUGAAUAAAACAAUUCAAAAUACAACUUUCAACAACGGAUCUCUUGGCUCUC
rnacentral:misc_RNA from 1 species